AUAUUAUAGAUCCUUUUUAUAUAGUGAGUGGAGUUUUUCCAUUUUAUCCUAUUUAUUGGUACUGAUCAUUAAUAUGGGUAAACUUGGUUAUUUUUCUUCUGUCCCAGUCCAUGCUCUAAAAAAUCACACAUACAACC